GAAAUGCGAUAAGUAAUGUGAAUUGCAGAAUUCAGUGAAUCAUCGAAUCUUUGAACGCACAUUGCGCCCGCCAGUAUUCUGGCAGGCAUGCCUGUCCGAGCGUCAUUUCAACCAUCAAGCCCCCGGGCCUGUGUUGGGGACCUGCGGCUGCCCGCAGGCCCUGAAAACCAGUGGCGGGCUCGCUGUCACACCGAGCGUAGUAGCAAUCACCUCGCUCAGGGCGUGCUGCGGGUUCCGGCCGUUAAACAGCCUUACAAAACCCAAGGUUGACCUCGGAUCAGGUAGGAAGACCCGCUGAACUUAAGC
rnacentral:misc_RNA from 1 species